GCCGGCGAAGCUCCUGGUGGAGGAGCACUGGCUUAGUAACCCAGAGGCAGCAGGUUCGACUCCUGCCGCCGGCCCCA
rnacentral:tRNA from 1 species